rnacentral:rRNA from 1 species
UACGAAGGGGGCUAGCGUUGCUCGGAAUCACUGGGCGUAAAGGGUGCGUAGGCGGCGUUUUAAGUCGGGGGUGAAAGCCUGUGGCUCAACCACAGAAUGGCCUUCGAUACUGGGACGCUUGAGUAUGGUAGAGGUUGGUGGAACUGCGAGUGUAGAGGUGAAAUUCGUAGAUAUUCGCAAGAACACCGGUGGCGAAGGCGGCCAACUGGACCAUUACUGACGCUGAGGCGCGAAAGCGUGGGGAGCAAACAGG